rnacentral:rRNA from 1 species
UACAGAUGGUGCAAGCGUUAAUCGGAAUUACUGGGCGUAAAGCGCGCGUAGGUGGUUUGUUAAGUUGGAUGUGAAAGCCCAGGGCUUAACCUUGGAACUGCAUUCAAGACUGGCAAACUAGAGUACGGUAGAGGAAGGUAGAAUUUCUAGUGUAGCGGUGAAAUGCGUAGAUAUUAGAAGGAAUACCAGUGGCGAAGGCGGCCACCUGGACAGAUACUGACGCUGAGGCACGAAAGCGUGGGGAGCAAACAGG